rfam:Candida glabrata strain CBS138 chromosome G complete sequence.
GCUCGUGUAGCUCAGUGGUUAGAGCUUCGUGCUUAUAGUGGCAUCCCCCUAUGGGGAGCUAACUGUACGGAUGUUUCUGGGUCUUAAAAGCGGCUCAGGUCACAAGUCACGCGACCGUCGUGGGUUCAAUCCCCACCUCGAGCA